rnacentral:rRNA from 1 species
UACAGAGGGUGCGAGCGUUAAUCGGAAUUACUGGGCGUAAAGGGCGCGUAGGUUGUUUUUUAAGUUGACUGUGAAAUACCCGGGCUUAACCUGGGAGGGUCAGUCAAAACUGGAAGACUAGAGUAGGAUAGAGGGAAGCGGAAUUUCCGGUGUAGCGGUGAAAUGCGUAGAUAUCGGAAAGAACAUCUGUGGCGAAGGCGACUUCCUGGGUCCAUACUGACACUGAGGCGCGAAAGCGUGGGGAGCAAACAGG